AGCUUUUCAGGUUUACAACUGUGCCAAGCUGAAUUUGGUGCUUGUCAGUCCACAGCUUCCUAAAAAGAUUCGUGCUUUUGCUUCCUAUCGUGAUUUCACCUUUGCUGCCUACGGAAACCACAUAGCCGUUUUUAAGCGUACUCAACAGGUGGCAACUUGGAGUAGGCAUAGUGCUAAAGUUAAUUUGUUGUUACUGUUUGGCGAUCACAUCCUAAGUGUAGAUGUUGAUGGUAAUAUGUUCAUUUGGGGUUUUAAAGGACUUGAGGAAAAUCUUGCACCAAUUGGACACAUCAUGCUAGACAAUAAAUUUACACCCACCUGCUUAAUGCACCCAGAUACUUAUCUAAACAAGGUUGUUCUUGGGAGCCAGGAGGGUACUUUACAGCUUUGGAACAUCAGCACUAAGAAAAAGCUUUACGAGUUCAAGGGAUGGAAUUCCUCUAUUACCAGUUGUGUCUCGUCACCUGCACUUGAUGUUAUUGCAAUUGGCUGUGCUGACGGGAAGAUUCAUGUACAUAACAUUCGCUGUGAUGAAGAGUUGGUUACAUUUUCUCAUGCUACAAGAGGCGCAGUAACUGCCUUGUGUUUUAGUACUGAUGGACAACCCCUUCUAGCAUCUGGAGGUUCAUCUGGUGUCAUUAGCAUAUGGAAUCUUGAGAAAAGAAGGCUCCAAUCAGUCAUAAGAGAGGCUCAUGAUAAUUCAAUAAUUUCAUUGCA
rnacentral:misc_RNA from 1 species